AGAAGUGCUGUCUCAGCAGAGAAAGGAGGCAUAUUUAAUGUGUUUACUUUGCAAAGAGGAACAAACAGGUCUAAAGACCCCACCCCCACCAUCUUUGGGGUCCUUAUAGUAAGGUUGUUUAAAUGGAGCAAGAGGUGUACGUCACUAACCAGGCCCGAUCAAGGUGAUGGAAUGGAAUGAAAUCUCUUUCUAGGAGACAGGCUGCCCCACUAGCUGGCACCAGACACUGAUGAUCGUUUUCCUGCCCCAGCAGGAGACUCCUAAGGAAGUUCAGUUCCUCCGGGACUAUGACUUCAGCAGUCUGAUGGCUAAAGGGAAGGACACAAGUGUUUCUCCUUAGAGUAGAUUCCCUCCUGCUAGGUGGUUACACCUGCAGAACAAGGAAACUGCAUCUCAAAGUGACCCCUCUAUCCUAAGGGGGCACCAGAUGCUGCUCCAGAUGUGCUGCCUGUAGGCUGCCUGCCUCCUCUCUUCAGGCUUGCUGCCAAAGGCACCUGGCCGGGCUACCUUGUCCAGCUCCCAAGACUUCCAUCACGACUCCCCUCCUAUCUUGGGAAGUCGAAGUCCUGCUCACCUUGAAGACUCCUUGAAGAUUUUGGUUUCCCUGGAAGCAUCUACUAGCAUGGAAUGCUAAACAGGUUGAUUUUGUCAAGUAGUGAAAACAGCAAUACACAGAAUAACCCAGACAUGAAUCCAGGUCCAAGACUCCCAGGCAGAGGCUACUAACACACUCCUGAAAAAGUGAAGUUCAAGUGAAAAGCACGUGAGAUCUCUGUUUGUGCUAUGUACACGUCAGUGGGCUUUCUAGGCACAGAACACUGACUUUUAUUUCGUUCCAAACAGUGUAACUAUCAUCUAUGACUGUGUGGGAUGAGUGUAAGAAACGUCAGAGUAACAUAAAGAGUGGCGUUCCUUCCCGAGAGGACGGUCUCGUCCUGAAGAGACUUGACAGACCAUGAUGAUUAUGUCUUCCAUCUCAUGCUGAAACUGGAGCCGUGGUAGAAAGUUAAGUUAGGGGACUGGGAGUCUAAUUAUGUGCUGUGUCUUACAGAAACAUAAAAACCCAAUCACAUUUAGUUAUACACUUAAAAUUUGUUUUGCUUUUAUUGGAAAUAAUAAAAUUAUAUGGACUUGAGCCAUUAUACUCUCCCUCUCCACACACACACACACACACACACACACACACACACACACAUACACUUUGGUAGUGAGAGUUUUUAACAGCCCUCAAAUGCAGACAAGUUAGUGCCUGAGAUGUGAAUGUUAAGAACUGUGGGCUUUGGAUAAGAAUGUUAAUUUAGUUUCACUUGUCUCCAGAGCUUUACACAGUUCUCCGAACUGUCUAUUCUUCUUCAUCACCCUGGCAUCCAGAAAAACUCAUGGACACAAGCAUACACAUGUAUAUAUGAAAACUUGUAUACACAAGGCACAUGUGCUCACAUGUGAACAUAUGCAUACACCCACACAGCAUACACUACACAGACUGCAUCCAUACUUGCAUAUGUGCAUAUGCUUGUAUGCACAUGGACACACACCCAUAUAUACAAAUGCACACAUGUUUGUAUAUGUUUGCAGUCACAUCUCUUUAGAAUACCUAGUC